CCAAGAAAUACAACAUGGCUGCUACUUCAUUUGUGUAUGUUUAUGUUGAUCAAUAAUAAAUCACAAAUUCCAACUAGAAAUAAACUAAUCUUACAAUAAGUACACUGCAAAAUAUCAUAUUCCCAAAUCAACUAGCAGUUCUAAUUUAUAAAUGUACUCUACAAAGCCGAACAACAUCAAAAAGUUGUGAAAAAUGUUGGCCUUAUUGCUUCUAAAUAAUAUGAGUACGAAACACAGGGCUGCAAGGCGAAAAUUGGCAGUAAAAGUGACUAAAACCGAAGAGAAGACACCGGAAAUAGCUUACUGCAGGACCUGUUUAAGUACGGAGGACUUAGUGUCGAUAUUUUAUAACAAAGAAAGCGAAGAAAAAAGAUCACAGGAUUUGAGACUGGUCACCGGCUUAGAGAUAAAAAUGGAUGAUGGCUUAUCACAGAAGAUCUGUGCACAAUGUAUAGAGACCAUGAACAAUGCACUGCAGUUCAGGAGAACUAGUCGGAAAGCUGAAAAGACACUGUUAAAUAUGAUAUCAGGUAAACCCAAAAAGAAAUACUCAACGCGUCUUCAAAAGUCUCUCUCGAAGCCAAAGAUCAAGAAAGCUAAAGUGGAGAAGGUGGAACUGAACGACUACAGCUAUGAGAUCUUCAGCGAGGAGUUCCAGAACGAUGAUGUGGAUGACUAUCCUUUGAUGGAGAGCAGUGAGAAUAAUAGGAGUUUGAGACAGAAACAGCCGCCGAAAAAGAAACGUAUGACAAUACCCAACAGUUCUUCUUACAAAUGUGGCACUUGUGGCAAAGAGUUUCGCAUGAAGACGACUUACAAGGCGCAUAUACGUUUCCAUACUAAUUACUGCGUUUGUGAGGCGUGCGGAAAGAGGUGUCGCAACAACAAUCAGCUGCAGGAACACAAGAGAGCUCGCCACGGCUUGUACAGGAUACACAAGUGUGCUUACUGCGAGUAUAGUUCUGCUACUAAAGAGGCGUUAACGAUCCACGAGCGGCGUCACACGGGCGAGCGUCCGUACGUGUGCGACCACUGCGGCGCCACCUUCCAUCGCCGCUCCAACCUCGUGCAGCACAUCGCUAUACAUCUGCCCGAGAAGAACUUCCAAUGCGACAUGUGCCCUAAAAGGCUCAAGUCGCGCAAAUUCCUGCAGAUACACAAACACAACGCUCACACGGGCAAGCGAUACGGGUACCUCUGCGGCAUAUGCGAGCAUCGCUUCGAGAAGCCGAACAAAGUGCGAGCGCACAUGCGCAGGGUGCAUGGCGUUGCUGAUGAUCAGCAGGGGCCGAUUGUGAGGGUGCAGUUGUAGGACCCCCUAAGUUUUAGACCCCUUGAUUUGUUUUGCUAGACCCCCUUAAGUUUGGGUAGGGGUCUAAAGGGAACGUUGGGUUCAGUUUCAUAAGGUCUCCUAGACCGUAGUAAGUUUAGUUAGCUGCUAGACCCCCUUAAGUUUGGUUAGGGGGUCUAAAAGGAACAUUGAGUUAGUCGGUUUCAUAAGGGGUCUCCUAGAUUCCCCCUAAAUUUAGUUAGGGGGUCUAGAGAUAUUGAGUUCAGUUUUUUUAGGGGUUUCCUGGACCCCUCUAAUUUUAGUGAAGGGGUCUUAAGGGAACAUUGAGUUAGUCGGUUUCAGAGAGCGUCUUCUACACCCCCCUAAGUUUAGUUAGGGGGUCUAGAGAUAUUGAGUCAGUUUUAUAAAGAUUUCGUAAGCAUUAUAAUAUCGAAAAUUUAAAGUAGGUGGUAUAAAAAGUGCUUCGAUUUCAUGUAUUUAAUUUAUAGUAAGCUGUAUAUAAAUAUAUUUAAGUAAUGUAUUGAAUCAUUAAUUCUUCCUUAUACAAUUUUGAUAAAAAAACUUUUAGUAUUUUGGGGUCCGAAUGGAUCUCCUUAUGUCCAUAGAUAUAAUGUAUAUUGCUGUGAAAAAACCGACUUCACUAAUAUAUUUGGUUAAAAAGUCUGUUAAAAAAAUCAUCCAUGUUUAUUCCCACUUGACCCCCUAAAUCUUGGUUGUCAUAUUUUGCCAUAUUGUAUCUUGAUAGUAUUUUAUUGAAAUUAUUAGGUUUAGGAAUAAAUUAAGAUUAUACUAUACAGAUCUCGUAAAAAGUAUUAUUAUUAUGUAAAUAUUUAAAUCAAGUCCGUCUAUAUUAUAUUAGUUUUUUAUACAGUAGUAGGUAUUUUAUUUAAUCAAUUUUCCUGAACAAAUAUUUAUGGAUCCGUCAAAUUGUUGUGAUUUACACAAUCAGUAUAUGUGGAUAUAAAAAAUUUAACUUCCAUAAUAUGUAUUUAUGAGAAAACAUCGUAUGACAAAAUAGCUCAUAUUUACAAUGGCUUCUCCGACUUUGAUGAAACAUAAACCAUAGAUAGAACACAAAAACGCAUCCAAAACAGUUCUUCCGUUUAAGAGCUACCGUGCCACAGACACACAAACGAUCAAUAAUAUAACGCAUCUCUUUUUGCGUCGUUGGUUAAAAUUAGGUGUAUUUUAGGCACUAUACAAUCGGCCCUUUGCUUCUCAACGUGGAUUUUCAAAGUGCGGCAUCUGCAAGAAAUGGGAGAAGUCUCAGAAGCGGCUGAACAUCCACAAGUACAAAGUCCACAAGGAACACAAGUACAGGUACAUGUGCCCCCAGUGUCCGAAGAUCUACAAAUGUCCUGACCACGUGCGGCGUC